AGAACGAACGCUGGCGGCAUGCCUAAUACAUGCAAGUCGAACGAACUCUUCGGAGUUAGUGGCGCACGGGUGCGUAACGCGUGGGAAUCUGCCCCUUGGUUCGGAAUAACAGUUGGAAACGACUGCUAAUACCGGAUGAUGACGAAAGUCCAAAGAUUUAUCGCCAAGGGAUGAGCCCGCGUAGGAUUAGCUAGUUGGUGAGGUAAAGGCUCACCAAGGCAACGAUCCUUAGCUGGUCUGAGAGGAUGAUCAGCCACACUGGGACUGAGACACGGCCCAGACUCCUACGGGAGGCAGCAGUAGGGAAUAUUGGACAAUGGGCGAAAGCCUGAUCCAGCAAUGCCGCGUGAGUGAUGAAGGCCUUAGGGUUGUAAAGCUCUUUUACCCGAGAUGAUAAUGACAGUAUCGGAGAAUAAGCCCCGGCUAACUCCGUGCCAGCAGCCCGC
rnacentral:rRNA from 1 species